rnacentral:rRNA from 1 species
UGAACGCUGGCGGCGUGCCUAACACAUGCAAGUCGAACGCGAAAGUUUUCUUCGGAAAAUGAGUAGAGUGGCAGACGGGUGAGUAAUGCAUAGGUAAUCUACCUUUGAGUGGGGGACAACUAGUCGAAAGGCGAGCUAAUCCCGCAUAAUAUCACAGCUCACAAGAGUUGUGAUCAAAGAGGGGGAUCCUUCGGGACCUCUUGCUUAAAGAUGAACUUAUGUCCUAUUAGCUUGUUGGUGGGGUAAUGGCCUACCAAGGCGAUGAUGGGUAGCCGAGCUGAGAGGCUGAUCGGCCACACUGGAACUGAUACACGGUCCAGACUCCUACGGGAGGCAGCAGUGGGGAAUUUUGCGCAAUGGGCGAAAGCCUGACGCAGCGACGCCGCGUGAGGGAUGACGGUUCUCGUAAUUGUAAACCUCUGUCAGGAAGGAUUAAAUGCAUAAUUGUUAAUACCCUUUAUGCUUGACUUAACUUCCAGAGGAAGCCCCGGCUAACUAC